UUAGUGGACUUCUCGCGAC
rnacentral:siRNA from 1 species